UGACUGUCCAGAAAUUCCCAAUCUACAGAAAAUUAAACUAAACCUAAACCAUUCCAUAUUUUCCUUUUCCCAAACAUAGCCCAGUUUAUAUAUCGAAAUUCAUUAAACCAACGCACAUAUUACGCAAACCUAUAAAAUCCACAACCCACAUACACGAGGCCCACUCGCACCUCUUAAUUCAACCUUAAAAUUUACCAAAAUAAAAUUUACCAAAACCUGGCCCAAUCCAACCUAUCCACAUGGCCCAUUCCGAACCAAGCUCACUACUGCAAUGCGGAAACCAUAAAUCCAUAGCCAAAACCCCUAAUCUAACAAGCCCAUUAUAAUAUCAACCAUCACUCUGCUGGUGCCCCUGCCUUACUUUGUCAUCGUCAGCGUCAUCCGUUAGAAAGCCAUAGUGCAGACCUACCGCAUUUUGGUGUUUGGCCUUUUAAUUUAAAAAUCAGAACAAAAUAGGGACAUAUAGCCAUAGUGCAGACCUACCGCAUUUAGGUGUUUGGCCUUUUAAUUUAAAAAUCAGAACAAAAUAGGGACAUAUAGCCAUAGUGCAGACCUACCGCAUUUAGGUGUUUGGCCUUUUAAUUUAAAAAUCAGAACAAAAUAGGGACAUAUGUGCUAAAACAAAAUAAUAAUAAUAAUAAUAAAUAAAUAAAUAAACAAAAAAAUGUCAUAUAAUAGCUAUAGCACGUCAUUUGGUCACUACCAAAAUCAGGUACCUUACCCACAUCCUUCCACUUAUCAAUACAAUUAUCCUUCAUCUAGGACCUUUAUUGGGGACAUAAAUUCUUAUUCUGAACAACAUGAACUCCAAUUAUGGAAUUUUGAUAGUCUCAAUGGACCAAACUCAUUUUUCGAUUGGCUUGAUGGUCUUGAAAAUUUCUUUGAAUUUCACAACUUAAAUGACUCCCGUUGUCUUUGCCAUGCUGAUAUGGCACUGGUCACAUCUGCUAGAUGUUAUUGAAAGUAUUUUUGCAUAACAUUAAUUAACUAGGUCAGCGUCCUAUCACUCUAUAAGAUGAGAUAAAACAAAUUUUAAGUAAUAAAUACGCUCCCGUGUACUAUUGAUCUCAAUUGCUAGAUAAAUUCUUCUUAAACUAUAAACAAUGUACAUCCACUGUUGGGGAAUAUCUAGCAUAUUUCGAAAAGUUAUUGCACAGUUGUUAUAUUUACGAGGCUCCCCACAUUACAACAUCUAGAUUUAUUGAUCGUUUGAAUCUUAAAAUCUUGCCUAAUGAUAUUCCUGCAUUCCAAUCUCUAGGUGACACUUACCAACAAGCUAACUUAUGGAACUUAUCAUUUCAUCUUCACCGAGCAUGUUAAAGGCUAGGUAUAUCAUCACAAUCUAAACAAUCACCUCCCCAGUCAAGUUGUCAUCCUCUUGAGAAAGAUAAUGAAGUUUUCAUUGCUAAACCAAUUGAAUAUUCUGAUAACAAGGAUGAAGAAAUUUCUAUAGUGUUACCACCUAAGUCAAACAAUCCAUCUAACUUCAAUUACGUGCCGACAUUGAUCUUGCCUAAUGUGUUGCAUGAUACAUUGACUUUGAUAUGAUUUUACCUCCACUUUGUGAUGUUUAUGAGGUUUACCACAUUGUCCAAUGUCAUUGUUCGUUCAAACACUUUUCCCACAGUGUAAAGAAAAGAUUGAAUUUUUCACUUGAACUUAACCUGUUUGAUUGGUCAUCGCACUUACAUGAGAGUUUUGUUUUCCAUAUAGUAGAAUUGUUUCCUUAUUGGGUUACAUCCGCGCCACCAUUGUUGCACUCACCUGUUUUCGCACGUUAGUUUACUUUGUUAGAUCCUUGUACUACUCAUUAUGAACAAUCAAUUGAAGACUUUAUAGAUGAGUUACAUAAGCGGUUGCUUUUUGAAGUUUCGUAUCGAUAUUUGGUCAGACAAAGAGAUCAUCCCCUUGGGCAGGUCAUGUUCUUGGGGAUGUUUUGUAAAUUCAGUUGAUGUUACAUGAUCAGUUCAGGUACUUGGUUCUUACGAAAGAUGGCCCUUCUUGACAUAAGUUUAACAAGUUGAUGCUGCCCAAGGUCCAGUACAAGCAUUUGGUGAAGAUAAAAGAUCGACCUCCUUGGAAUAUGAAGUACUAGUCUAUCUUAUCGGAGUCGAGUUCUUUCAGCCGGGGAGAAAUGAUGCAAUAUCAGAAGGAAUAUUAUUAUGUUCAGUUUCCAAUUUUAAUCUGUAUUUUAGGAAUUAUAAUUAGGUUUAAUUUAGUUGCUUUUAUUAGAUAUUUUCCUUCUUAAGAUAGAAUAUUUCCGACCCUAUAUGAAGGACUCUUUUGCAUUGUAAUAAAACAACUUCUGAAUGAAUGAAUAAUUAAUAUAGUCUUCCUCCAUUUCUCUCUUCCCCUUGCCCUCUUCUUCUCUCUUUUCCCCCUGCUUUCUCCUCUCCUCCUCUUUUCCCUUUUCCUACAAUUUUCCUCUUGCACCCUACGUCAACUAGUCAUGAUUAACCAACAAAAAAUUGGUAAUAAUUUUGACAAUUUCAAGAAAAUGACCAUCAGACUUUUUUCCUUUGAGGCACCUCUUAAAUUAGCUGGGAACCACUACGUGGAGCCUAUUGCAAGGGUCCCCACGGCACCAAUCAUCUAACACAGUCCAGGCAAUACAAACUAUAAUAAUAGAAUUGAAUUAUGCAAGUUGUACCCAUUGUCAUUGAUAAUUUUACGUGCCAGAGAAAUCAAUUGUAAAAUUCUGUGCCACAUUAUGUCAACUAGAAUGUGUAGCAAAAAUGAUAAUAAUAUAGGUGAAGCCAUCUGGCAGGAUAGGUAUGACAAUGAAGCCAAUACAGACAAAAGUAGAUGAGUCUAAAAUGGACAGAGAUCCACGCCUUAUUUUCAAUUAAACUAGGAGAUGGAUAUUAUUUCUUAAAUAUUUUUCCUCAUUCCAUCAAUGUCACCAAGAAAUUUCGAGGAAAUUUCGUCCUCUGACUUUUGCACAGUACACGCCAAAAAGGUCCCACGUUAAAAUUAUGUGUCCCAUUCACCUAUUAUAAAAUAACAACUCUUAGGCCUCAGGGGCCACAGAGAGUAAACGAACAUUUAUUGUAAUGUUGAUUUGAGACUUUAA